CUCUCUCUCUCUCUCUCUCUCUCUCUCAUUUUGAAUCAGUUUUCUCUCGAAUCUCUCUCUCUCUCUUGCUCUCCUUCCCUCUUCUCUCUUCUCUCCCCUCAAACCCUAAAAACAUCUGAACAAAACCUUGAAAUCUCUAUAACUCUUUCUCUGUGUUACUUCAUUACUUUUGCAUUUGAUGAGAAGACAAUGUCACAUAAACAUGAAGGUGAUAACUGCAUAUACUUGCUUCUGUUGGAGCAAAAAACCUAGACCGUGUGAAAGCUCUUAGAGUAAAUGUUGGAACUGAACUUGAUGCAGAUCUUGGUCCGGUUAUGAGCAAACAUGUUAUAUGGUGAGAUCUGGAAAUCAAAAUUUGAUUUUGGAUAUGUGGUUUAAGUUGACAUAUUUUUUGUUUUUCAGGUAUGUAGUUUGAUGUUGAUAGCCCACACUAGCUUUGCCAAGGUAUAUGGCUUCAUUGUUUCCUUAUCUUAUUUUUCUGCUUGUCUGUUUUCCACUAUUUAUAAAAAUUUGACUUUUCUGUUUUGGCUGGAAGAAUAAAUGAUGCGAAAAAAGUUAUACACGAGCUUUGGGGAGUAUCUGAGCCUGAGGGUGAAAUUGAAGAGUUUAAAUCUGUUACAGGCAUGAAUACAAUUAUUUUUUCUCAAAUAAUCUCACAAGUUUACUCUCUUAGAAUCUAUUACAGCUCUCUCCGUGGAACACGGUUUCGACAUCCAGGCAUGAAUACAAUUACCUUUUCUCAAAUAAUCUCACAAGUUGAAAGAUACACUGGACUAAUGAUGGAUAACUUUGUAUAAUUUUCUCCACAUGGAUUUAAAACAUUUCAAAAAGUCAUACAUUUUCUAACUUGUACCCGACAAUGUAUAGUAGGAAGUGAAAUAACUUGAUUUUAAAUAAACAAUUACCUUUAUGCAUAUUCAUGGAAAUGGUGUAAGAGCAAGAUUGGUGGUUUCAACUACACUCUUGCGCAAUGGAUUACAAAUCCAAGAGACUGUUUGGGAAGACAAUGCUGAAGGUUAAGAGUGAUUCGCAGGAAGUAGCUCAUUAGAUGUUUUGUAGUUGGAGGUCUCCUUAAUGGUGCAAGCAGUGUCAGACUGUUUGCAGCAUUUUUUUUAUCUACAAAGUUGGAGAUUUGCAUAUCUUGCAGAGUUUGUCUAAGUCUCCCUUAUGUGCAGAGUUUAUCCGAAGAUGUUUUCGGUGCAAGUUCUUUUAGUCUACGUGAUUUUUACAUUGCUCUGUCUGAAAGGAUAGGCAUUUAGCUGUCAUGAUGUGAUGAAUUGAUUACCAGUUAGAAUUAAAUGUAUUUGACUUGGUAGUAAUGAGAUUGGUUGUUUAGUUGUUUGUAUUUGGUGGUGUGUUUGAGAGCUUGCUGUUGUAUUUGGCAUGGCUAAUGAAAUUUAAUAAAUUGGUGUCUUUGGCUUUUAAAAAGAAAAAUCCAACAUAUUACUUAAAUUUCAAAACAAAUAUUCUGAAUCAGGCUUUGUAGAUUUUUCAAAGUUGGUAGCUCUUCGGGUCAAUAAAAAAUUAGAAAAUUUAAAAUGUUGCAUCAGGAAUAAGAGAUAAAUUUGAAAAACUUG